UUUUUCUUCUAGAAUGUACCCUGUGUUAAGGAAUGCCUACCAUCUCAGAAUGUCAUCCCGUGUUGAUGGUUCUUGCUGUUUGCCUGUGCAGAGCGCCCAGCCUCAUGAACGUCUCACUACCAACUCGUAUUUGCUACAGGUGGUGGCGGCAAGGAAAAACAAAUCACCACAAUGAACAACAACAUCAUCCCUGCCCUGAAAAGGAUCGUAAGCCUCUCACCAGAUGCUGUGAAUCCCGAACUCACAGAUUCCCAUAAGCAGAGGAUCUACUUUAACACGUCCCGAGGGUGGGUUGACAUACGAACCACACAGCCAAACAACUGAAGGCAGCUGAAGAAAACGCCAAUGAAGAGAGUUCUGCAGAACAUGUUCACUUAGUGGAAACAGUAAGACGUGUGCGUGCCCACAGACACACGCAGAAGGACUGGCAUCACCAAAAACAAUAAACCCUAAAGUCAGAUCC
rnacentral:lncRNA from 1 species